AACAUAUUCAUUAAAAGUUUUGAUAAUUUCAUAAAUAUUGCAGGGCCGAACUGAUACAAUCUACCAAUGUUACACUACGUAUAGUUAUAAGGUUAAGAUGUAGAAUGAAUAUUGUUCACAUAUAACUUUAUCAUACACACCUAUUUCUUUAUCUAAUGUUAUCAAUAAUUCAUUCAUGGAAAGAUCGACCUUAUUAAUUUCCAUUUAUGGAAGUGUUGUUUAAAAUGCUAUUAAUAGCUCAGUAUAUACUACUUUAUUCAUCGAUUAAGAUCUUUGAUAAUUAAAUGACGAUGUUAAGUAGUUAUUGAAGGUCGUGAUAGUAACGUUAUAAUUGUGUUUGAAUUACUAUUUGUUUCAUUAUAAAGCAUAGGUUGCCUUUUCUAGUCUGUAAAUGGAUACUUAAGACGAAUUAAAUGAAAAGAUAUCCAAAAACGAAAUGGAUAUGUUGAAGCAAUUCACGGAAGAUCAUUACAUGAUGGACGUGCAAUGUAUUGAAACGUUUCAACAACUUUUGAAAGAACUAAUAGGAAAGGUAAACCAAUCUCGUAUGGAAAUUCUCCAGGAUACGUUGUCUGUCCUUAAAAGAAAGGACUAGGAAAAGUUGCAUUAUAAUACAGAAACACGGUGACUUUAAACUCAAAGUAUAUGUAUGCAGGAAGUGAUAAUAAAAAAUAACUUUAAGGAUAGAGCACUUGUCAUAUUCUAAGGACCACGAGUGAGAAUUAGUGCAAAAAACGAUCAGACCUCUUAUUUGCACCGAUUAAUAAAAUAACCAUCAAUCGGAUAGAAGAAAUGAACUCUGGUAUACAGUAUACAUGCAGACCUAUUGCAAGAACUGCUUGAAAGCGAUGACAAUGAAACAGGUUUAAACUGUUUUGGAAUAACAGAUAUUUACAUACGAAGUGUGGCAUAUAAAAUCAAAGGUAUUUAAGCUGCACGCCUCCAGAGGAGCAAAAAAUUUCGAUAAAAUCAAACCUGAAAAAAAUGUACUGACAUUUUAUAAAAAGUAUAAAGAUUCAAAAUUCUAGUAAUAAUUUACAUGAAAUGUGCGAUUAAUGACCGUUUUUUUUCAGUAUUUAUAACUAUAUUUCUACUGCGUUACUAACACAGUAAGGGCUAUUUUUGCACAUUUUGACGGAUUGUAAGUGCCAUUGAUAAUGUAAAAUUUGCAUUCUUUUGGUAACUUCACAAUAUUAUACUGUUAAAUACAUUUUCAAAUUUUCAUGAAAAUUAGCAUGAAUCUGGAGGCGGGCUGCUUUAAUAUAUUUAUAUUUGUCAUCUAACUGACUUAAAUCCUAUAUACAAUUAUAAUUGAGCCAUGUCACGACAAAACCAACAUAGUGGGUUUGCGACCAGCAUGGAUCCAGACCAGCCUGCGCAUCAUCGCAGUCUGAUCAGGAUCCAUGAUGUUCGCUUACCAACUCUAUUACAAGUAGAGGAACUGAUAGCGAACAGCAUGGAUCCUGAUCAGACUGUGCGGACGCGCAGGCUGGUCUGGAUCCACGCUGGUCGCAAACCCACUAUGUUGGUUUUGUCGUGACACGGCUCAUAUCAUUUAUCGCUCAAUUUGAAUAUAUACUAAAAUGCUGAUAAUGAACUCCCCGUCUGAAAUGGCAGCAAUUUUUAUUUUGUUGGUUCGAUAAAAUCUGUUUAUUGGUUCAAGAUAUAAAGAUUUUAUUGCAAUCUUUAUUAAUUGUAAGAAUUUGACCUUACUUAUUUUGUUGAUCUGACAGUUAAACAGUUCUACGAAAUGUAUACAUGCAAUGGCAGUUUAAUCAGUAAAUGCAUUUACUUUACAAAAAAGUGUUAGCUCUAUAUAUACUCGUAUAAACUGAUGGUAUCUGAUAACUGGUUUCAUAGUUAUAGAAAGAGCAUCGAAACAAAAGGAUAUUUGAUUUGUACAGGAGGCGUCGCCCCCUAGUAUGAAUCAGAUUGCCAAGUGUCUUGAUAUUCUUUCUCUUUUGUAUCAUAGGCAAAAAUGGAAGCACGUCACAUUUUGUCACAAUAUGAAACCUCAGCAAAAAAGUAACCAAUAAAAGAGCAUCUAAAUAUGAUGUUUCUAUCGCUGUCCCCUUUUCACAACAAGUACACCCCAGUCAAUGGACACGCUCUGGAUAACUUAUACCUGCAUUCCAGUUUACGCCCUGUGCAUGUAUAUGUAUACAAUUUAACUCUGACACAUUAUCAACAGAAAUGUCCCAAUACUAUUAUGAUACAACUAACAGGUACACCACACUUCGAUCCAUUUAAUGUCAUCAAUACUUAAGAUGAAGUGAUAGAUAAUUAUAUUCUCAAUAAAUUUUCUUAUUGAUCACUAAGUGAUUUAUUUGAAUGUAAGGAUAAUAACAAAGAUACAUUUCGCACAUAUUAAUGUUGUUACUUUUGAAUCAAUGUACAAAAUUGGUCAUUGGCAUAAUAUCAUGCUUGAAUUCCAUUAAUUAAACAGAUAAUUUUUGUUAAAUUUACAUUACGUACACUCGAUCGUCGUAACAAAUUUCAUAAUUCAUAGCCAUUACUUCACUGGGCCAACAGUGACUUUCUUCGGGAAGUUCUUUUUUAGAUUUUAAAUCUUUUAUCAGUAUAUGAAAUAUUUCUAUUUAAAAAGAACUUAAUAUUAAGUAAAUAAUGGAUACAUAUUUGAAAUUGAUUUCGAAGUGUGUGUGCUUUAUUCAAAAUCAUCUCACUUAUUUUGAUACAUUAGGUAAAAUGGUUCAAGUGGAAAUGCUGCAUCAACAUCAACACAUUAUUGCUAUUUUAAAAGAGCAGAAUGAUGAAUUUAUGCAGCGUCUAGAUAAGCUUAGUGCAAGCCUCGACUCUCUCCUGCCACUUGUUACUGAACUUGGAGAUCCUCAAACACACAUGAAAAAUCUUACAAAUUUGCACAAACAUUCCACAACAAUCUGGAAAAUUCUUGGUAAAUUACCAGGCGACCAACUUCCUAAAUGGUAUAAACCAGAUUUCAGCCAGGAAGAAAUACGACAAAUAUGUCUAUACUAAAAAAACAAGAUUACAACGAGUGUUUCCACAUCUGUCUAUGUCAUAACAAAAGAAACCAGCAAGUUAACUGUGUUAGUCAUUGUAGAAACAUAACAGGAAUAUUUAGGUAAUUCAAUAAGUUUAAAGUGAGUUGCCUUUAUGACAUAUACCAUCAUUUUUCUACUUUGUUAAUAAAUUGCAAUCACAUGA